rnacentral:rRNA from 1 species
UGGGGAAUAUUGGACAAUGGGGGCAACCCUGAUCCAGCAAUGCCGCGUGGGUGAAGAAGGCUUUCGGGUUGUAAAGCCCUUUCGGUGGGGAAGAAAGGCGGCACGUUAAGAGCGUGCGGUGUUGACGUUACCCACAGAAGAAGCACCGGCUAACUCCGUGCCAGCAGCCGCGGUAAUACGGAGGGUGCGAGCGUUAAUCGGAAUCACUGGGCGUAAAGGGCGCGUAGGCGGUUUGGUAAGUCGGGUGUGAAAGCCCUGGGCUCAACCUAGGAAUGGCAUUCGAGACUGCCGGACUAGAGUAGGGUAGAGGGAGGCGGAAUUUCCGGUGUAGCGGUGAAAUGCGUAGAGAUCGGAAGGAACACCAGUGGCGAAGGCGGCCUCCUGGACCCUAACUGACGCUGAGGUGCGAAAGCGUGGGGAGCGAACAGG